UUCGGGACAAAAUACCGCAGCGCUCACGCUUCGCCCGCCACUGCCGCCUAGAAUGAGGAGGAGGAGGAGGAAGGAAAGAUUUUCUAAAACGAGGAAGCUGAUUCGCAGAUUGAGGGCAGAUCUGGGCAAACGAUCUACGGAUCUUUAUGACCCACUUUGUCAACAUGGAUUGGGAAAGGAAAAACUAAUCCUAGAGGUAGUAAAAGUUGAUGCCUAAAUGUAGACAGUGCAAAUGCAGGGAACAUUUGGAGAUUUUAAAACCUUACAGCGUUUACCCCAGAAAACUGCUUACUUUACCCUCUUCAAUUUAAUCCCCAAUCUCCCAAGCAGUUUUUUUGUUUUGUUUUUUGCUUUUGUUUGUUAAGCAGGAAGGAAACCAAAGGACAAAAACCCCUAGACUGUGUAAUGCCCAGCAACCUAUUUCUGGAAUAUAGUAAGCACUCAACUAAUGUUAGACACACGCAGAAAACACACAAUUUUAUGCGCUUGUUUAUUUAUUUGUUUUUGCUUUAAACGGUAUCUAUUCAAACCCAAAACCUUAGUGGCUAUUAAAAUAUUUUUUAAAUCGGAA
rnacentral:lncRNA from 1 species